AUUGAACGCUGGCGGCGCGCCUAAUACAUGCAAGUCGAGCGAGAAGACGUAGCAAUACGUUUGUAAAGCGGCGAACGGGUGAGGAAUACAUGGGUAACCUACCCUCGAGUGGGGAAUAACUAGCCGAAAGGUUAGCUAAUACCGCGUACGCUUCUUGGACUUCGGUUCAGGGAGGAAAGCGAUGCCGAGGGUAUCGCGCUCUUGGACGGGCUCAUGUCCUAUCAGCUUGUUGGUGAGGUAACGGCUCACCAAGGCUUCGACGGGUAGCUGGUCUGAGAGGACGAUCAGCCACACUGGCACUGCGACACGGGCCAGACUCCUACGGGAGGCAGCAGUAAGGAAUAUUGCGCAAUGGGCGAAAGCCUGACGCAGCGACGCCGCGUGGGGGAGUGAA
rnacentral:rRNA from 1 species